rnacentral:rRNA from 1 species
CGUAGGGCGAGCGUUGUCCGGAAUUACUGGGCGUAAAGGGCGUGUAGGCGGCCGGGUGUGUCAGGUGUGAAAGACCGGGGCUCAACUCCGGGGCUGCACCUGAAACUAUCUGGCUUGAGGGCAGGAGAGGGGAGUGGAAUUCCCGGUGUAGCGGUGAAAUACGUAGAUAUCGGGAGGAACACCAGUGGCGAAGGCGACUCCCUGGACUGGCCCUGACGCUGAGGCGCGAAAGCGUGGGGAGCGAACAGGAUU